CAACUUGAGAGUUUGAUCCUGGCUCAGAGCGAACGCUGGCGGCAGGCUUAACACAUGCAAGUCGAACGCCCCGCAAGGGGAGUGGCAGACGGGUGAGGAACACGUGGGAACGUACCUUUUGGUUCGGAAUAACUCAGGGAAACUUGUGCUAAUACCGGAUAAGCCCUUCGGGGGAAAGAUUUAUCGCCAAAAGAUCGGCCCGCGUCUGAUUAGCUAGUUGGUGAGGUAAUGGCUCACCAAGGCGACGAUCAGUAGCUGGUCUGAGAGGAUGA
rnacentral:rRNA from 1 species